UGGGGAAUAUUGGACAAUGGGCGAAAGCCUGAUCCAGCAAUGCCGCGUGAGUGAUGAAGGCCUUAGGGUUGUAAAGCUCUUCUACCAGGGAUGAUAAUGACAGUACCUGGAGAAUAAGCUCCGGCUAACUCCGUGCCAGCAGCCGCGGUAAUACGGAGGGAGCUAGCGUUGUUCGGAAUUACUGGGCGUAAAGCGCACGUAGGCGGCUUUUUAAGUCAGGGGUGAAAUCCCGGGGCUCAACCCCGGAACUGCCUCUGAAACUGGAUGGCUAGAAUCUUGGAGAGGCGAGUGGAAUUCCGAGUGUAGAGGUGAAAUUCGUAGAUAUUCGGAAGAACACCAGUGGCGAAGGCGACUAACUGGACAUGUAUUGACGCUGAGGUGCGAAAGCCAGGGGAGCAAA
rnacentral:rRNA from 1 species